AAAUAUCAUGCGGUGUUACUGCCAAAUUCACAAGGGAAGUUUUCAGUGAUGAAAAUUGGGAUCAAACAGGUCAACAAUGGUAUAAGAGGGAUCUAAAUCCUAUUGGCAUUGAUGAAAAUUGUGUUGUGUAUUCAUUUAUCUUGGACAAAGGAGAGAACAUGUAGCACAAAAGCAAAGUAGAACACAUCAAUUUAUGUAUAGAGAACAUUAAUCAGUACUUUCUACUUCUUGGAUCAAGGAAUAGGUGCCAAGGACGAUGUAGCACAACCAAGAGCCUUUGUCACGCCAGUAAUUGUGGCCUUGACAUUAGAACACACAGAGGUAAGAGGGCCUUUGUCUCCACCGUAGGUGAGAUCAAUGUCAGUCAACUCCACAUUCUCACACGGUAUGCCCGUGGUACACACAAGCUUGACUGCAAGUGGAGUGAAAGAUGAGCCCUUAAUGUUCUUGAAGCUGACAUUGUUGAUCUUAACUUUUGACGGAGGCUUUUGUUCACACUGAGUAUAUGGGCAGUACAAUUGGUCUAUGAGGAUAGGGUUACUGACAUUAACCAUGAUAAUAUCCUCAUAGUGUAUACCUGAGGCAGAGCUAGGCGAAGGAGAAUCUGGAAAUGUUUUGAUUCUCACACCGUUCUCCGUAUUAGUCAGGGUGCAGUUCUUAACUAUGAUCCCAGUCACAUCCUUUUCUUCCUUAUAUUUUCCAAGGCUUCCAAUGCUUAUUCCAUGGCCUGGCCCACAAGUAACACCAGUCACUGUGAUUUCGUGGGAGUCAUCACCAAUAGAAAUACAGUCAUCCCCAGUUCCAAUCUUUUAAUGAGUAAUGUUGAUACCAGUCGAAGCCCCGAUAUGGAUUCCAUCUGUGUUUCUGCUCUCGUCAGGUGCUGUGAUGGUAAGCUGUUGAAAUGUAGUAUGGUUGCACCGGAAAACAUGGAUGUGGAAAAAUUUGCUGUUAAGUGAAGUUAUGUCCUGAACUUUGGAAUUUGUGAGGAAUUCAAACCGCAGAUUAACGGGAGGAGGUUUGCAAUUUUUGUUUUUGUGGCAGUCAUUUUGAUUCCAAGAAAGUGCUCCUUGGCCAUCAAAAGUCCCACCACCUGAUAAGGUGAGCAUGUCAAUGUACUGAAAACCAACCCAAGUAUCCGGUCUAGUGAGUUGGCCAGCGUCUGCUGGAGCCUACAAUGUGCCUUGAACUUGCAUCUCAAUAGGAGCCUUACAGGGGCCUCUGAAAGUUGCUUCUAAGAUUACUGCAAUCAAAUCAGAAGUCGAUACAUUUAUUUUCUUUGGCGAGAGAAUCCACAAUACGACUCUCAUGCUUGCAUAUCAUCUAUUUAAAAAUAUAAAAAUCCAAAUUGUUAUAACAAAUUGCGUACUUAUACGAUGAAGACAAAUAUUAAGAGUGCUGCUAUUUCCACUCACCUGUCCCAUUUUCCCACAUACCUUAUCUUCCCACUCACCAUAUAAAUUUUAAAAAACACAGUCCUAUUUUUCCACCCACCAAUAUUCCUAAAAUACCCUUUUAAUUAUUACCUCAUUUCCUCUCUCCUUUAUUCUCUUUGCUCAUGUCUUCUCUCUCUCUGACGCCCACACAUCUCUCUCUCAUUUUUGCUGUAUCUUAUUUUCUACGGAAUUUGAAAUUUGAAAGCAAACAAUAGUAAGUAAUACAGUAGUAAAACGAUAAAAGAAGCAACUUCAUAUCACGAAAUUUGAUGACAAUGGCUAGUCAGCAUGCAAAAAAUGACCAGCCCUUGAAACCAAAACCUGGCGCAGGCUCUCCAGUUUCUAAACGUACCCAGCAACCUCUUUACCCACCUUCCAAACUUUCUGGUCCGCUGACAGAAACUUGUUCAUCCUCAGGUUUUCAUAUUUUUAAUUUGUUUAAGAAAAAAAAUUAGAGUCCAAGAAAUACUGAUCUCCCAACGCUUUAAGUAAUUGUAAAGAUCUUAGAAAUUCUGUUCAAAAAGGAUUUCCUUACCUUUUCGCCAAAAUCGUUCUCUUCAACAUCCAUUCUCCUAUUGUUUUCUUCUUCAUAAACAAUUUGAUUGAAUGAAUAGAAAAGAGAAGAAAAUUAUUUGAGAAUUGAGUUCUGAGCAUUGAAAAGUCAUAAGAGGAAUCAUGAGCUAGGAGUCAUAGCUUUCUUUUGUUUUUUUCUCUUUCUGUCAAACAAUAGGGUUACGUGAGAACAUAGUCUGAGUUUUUUUUUUUUUCCCCUCUUUCUUUUUCCUGAAGGCAAGAUAAGGUGGGUGGAAACAUAAGACAGGUGGGUGGAAAUAGCAGCACUCAAUAUUAAUAUGGGAUAACUUGGCUAUCAUAGAAGGUAAUGAAAUAGAGAAUUAAUAUUUCCAAAAGGAUAGAAAGAAUAAUUCUUUUAGGAAAACCAAAGGUUACACACAAAAGAGGUAAUUCCAAAACCCUUGCUUGAAAACACUAAAGGCACACAUGCCUCCUCUCUCUGUGUGGCUCUCACACCACCCCCAUUUUCUCCCUAAGAAAAUACUCAUAUUCCUUAUAAAAAUACCCACAUCUCCUUGAGACUAUUUUCCGACUUGGGCAUUGGAGGGCCCAAGACCACCACCACACUGGUGUUUAUCCGAUUUAUUAUUCUUGUUUUGCAGGAAAUCUUAGAAGAACAUUUAAAGUGGAGUGAAGAUCUUCCAUAAAUCUACCUGGGAGGAAAUUUGCUACCACAAUAAUUUCUACUAACAUGAGAAGUACUUCCCAAGUGUAAAAAUAAAAGUAAUUGUAUAGUAAAGGCAUCAUAAAUUAGAAAACUAACAAGAAAAAGAAUAGAAAACUACCAUUGUAGACCAUUCCUUUUAAGAAUUCAUCAUAAAUAGGUGAAGAAUUCUAUGCCUGGUAUAAUAACAAUUUGCUAUUAAAAAAGAAUAGGUCAGUUAGGCCAUUAAUACAUAUGUUAAAUGAUGACGUGGCAAACAUGAGUUUCAAUGUUUUUGCUGAUGUGUAAUAAAAUAUUAAUAAAAAAUUAUUUAUUUUUGAAAUAAUUUAAAAAAAAGUAAAAAAAAAAAAUAAGUAAAAUACAUACAUAACAUUAAAAUGAAAAAAGUCAAAAACACAGAUACAAUUAUUCUCUCUCAUAUAAUAUCUCUAAAAAAGAUUUGAGACAAGAUGAACUCGCCUCACGCGCUUUGAAGGUUUUCUCUGUUUCCUCACUUGUUUUGCGUGUGCUCAAGGCUGUGAUUACAGCGGUCGUCGACGACGGUCUCUGUGAUGCCGGAAUUUGUUUUCUCUGCUGGGGUGGGUGGUUCCCUUAACGAUGGCCCUAUUGCUGGCGAGAAAAGAGCUCGUACCCUGGAGAUAUUGGAUGUUGGCGGACUGUAAUCGGACGAGCCGUCUCCCCCUCUUCCUCCAAUCCUGAUGAGUUUUAAGGAUAAAGUUUCUGGGGAUUUUGGUAUGGCGGAGGAUCAGUUGGUGUUAAGCGAUGAUGAUGUUGUAAUUCAGCAAAGGGCAAUUCCCUCAAUACAUUUCUCAGGCAAAGUAAAGAGCUCUUUGUAUCGGCCUUGGCAUUUUGCUGUAAUUAUUAAGCUCAUGGGUCGUCCUCUGGCUUUCACAUUUCUCAGAUCUCGUCUUCUCCAGAGAUGGGCACUUAAGGGUCCUAUGAGCUUAAUAGAUCUAGAGAAUAACAACUUCAUUGCGAAGUUCCUUUAUGAGGAAGAUAUGAGAUACGUGCUCACUGGUGGUCCUUGGCAAAUUGCUGGCCAAUACAUUGUGACACAGAAAUGGAAGCCUGGGUUUAAUGCGAAGGAGGAGAAGAUCACCCAUAUGACUGCUUGGGUUUGAAUUAAUGGGCUGAACGUUGAAUAUUUUCGUGUUGAUGUUAUGGAAAAAAUUGGAAAUCUUGUUGGUGCUACGGUCAAGGUGGAUGCUCAUACUCUCAGUCAAGGUCGUGGUAAGUUUGCUCGAAUUUGUGGCGAACUUGAUUUGGCUAAGCCUUUUACCCCAUUCAUUAAGAUUGAAGGCCGUACAUAUGGGGUUGUGUAUGAGGGAAUUAAUUUGGUUUGCUUUGAAUGUGGAUGUUUUGGGCAUGGGAGAGAUUCUUGCCCUAUUAUUUUGCAAGCCAAACAGCAGGUUCCAGAGUCAGAUAAUGCUGAUUGUAUGGAGGAUAUUUCUACUGUCCAGGUUAAUGUGAAUUUAGGUGCUGCUACAAAGGAGGUUGAGGUUCCAGCAAAGAUGCACGGGGAGUGGAUGUUGUUGAAGCCAAGGAAUUUUAGGAAGAAUAGCACAAAUGAUAUAGGGAAGGGUGCUGAUCUUAGCAAGAGGAAUACAAAGGAUACUGGUACGAAAGCUAUUAGUCCUGUCUUUGGUUCUCGUUUCAAUGUGUUGAUUGAGGAGGUUGGCAGAGAAGAGGAUAUGGAGGGAUCUCCUCCUGUUAAGACUAGUGAUUCUAGUUCUAAAAAACAGGGUUCUUUUGCCAAUACUUAUUCUACUAAGGGAAAAAGUGCUGGGGUGAAAUUUGCUUCCUCUCGUGACUCUGGCACAUGGGUGUUUAAAAAACCUCUCAAAGACAUUUCCAAUUCCGUGGUAGCUAAUUCUAGUGGUGGUGGUGUUAAAAGUGGUUCUGUUUUAAGGAGGCCUUGGAAGAAAGAGCUGGGCCUAAAUCUUUCUCUUGUCAUGAUAUUGAACCUGUGAGGCUGCAAGUUAAGGGCUCUGAUGUUCAAGAUGAUGUUCGGGGGAAGUUUUCUUUUAAUUUAGGUGGCUCUCUUUUUCCAAAGUUGCCUUUGGGUAAGGAAGGUUUAUUUUUUGGUCAUGAACCUCCUGAUAUCAGUGAGAUGGGAAUUAAUGAGGUUGAGCCUUCCGAUGCGAGUGAUAUGGAUCAUCAGGGUAAUUUCUCUGAACAUUGUGAGUCUGAUACUGGACUAGAAGCUGAUAGCUCUUUUGAGCAUGAUGGUUUUGAAGCCGUUGAGGCUGAGCAUGUGCAGAUUUAGGUUUGUACCUAAUAUUAUCCCUCAUUAUUAUCAUUUUAUGAUGAAUAUUAUUGCUUGGAAUGUUAGAGGUGCUGGUAAAGAUAGGUGUGCUAGUACUAUUAAGGACCUAAAAAAGGCUUAUCCCAUUGAUGUGUUUGCUAUUCUUGAGCCUCGAAUAAGUGGCUCUAGGGCUCUCAGUGUUGCCCAGAGUUUGGGUUUUUCUCAUUACCAUAUUGUUGAUGCUUUUGGUUUUUCUGGGGGUGUUUGGUUGUUGUGGAAUGGGAAUUCAGUUUCUCUUCAAGUUAUUCCGCACUCUAGCCAAUCUAUCACUGCGUUAGUAACUUUGAGGAAUCAUAGGUGCCUCCUCGCUAUUGUUUAUGCAAACCCUUGCCCUGGGAUUUGAGAAGCUUUGUGGAAGUACUUUGAUGGUCUUAUUGAAGCUUCCAAUCUGCCAUGGCUUGUUCUAGGUGAUUUUAAUGAUAUUGUGAGUGUGGAUGAGAAAUGUGGGGGUAAUUUAGAUUAAGGUGGUAAACAUUUUGUUGAGUGGAUUGAUCGUAACCAUUUGGUUGACCUGGGUUUCACUGGGGCAAAGUUUACUUGGUGUAAUAAACAGAAUGCUGAAGGAAUUAUUUGGAAGAGGCUUGAUAGGGGCCUUUGUAGUAUUGAUUGGCGUCUUUUGUUCCCUGAGGCUCACCUCCUGCAUCUUCCUAGGGUGAAUUCAGAUCACUGUCCUAUUUUGGUGCGCCUUGACUCCAAACAUUACCCUAACAGAGCAAAUGUGCCGUUUCGUUUCCAAGCCAUGUGGAUGUCUCAUCCUGAUUUUAAGGAAUUUGUUACGAACCUUUGGAGUUCUGGUGAUGGUCAUGCUGUGCACAGAUCAGCUAGGCUCGUGGCUCCGCUUGGCAUUUGGAAUCAACAGGUUUUUGGGUGUUUAUUUACAAAGAAAAGGCAUCUUUUAGCUAGACUUGCAGGAAUUUAAAAGAAGCUUUGUCAUGAGCAUAAUCCUUUCCUUAGUGAGCUUGAGGUUGAGCUUACUAAAGAUUACAAUUUACUAUUGGAUCAAGAAGAGACUUUUUGGCUACAAAUGUCCAGGAAUACCUGUCUUAAAGAAGGGGACAGGAAUACUCGGUUCUUCCAUCUGUCUACAGUUGUUAGACGAAGAAUGAAUAAGUUGGAAUGGUUACAUGAUGAUUUUGGGGAUUGGAUUACUGAGAAACAGAGCAUGAAACAUAUUAUUGUUAAUUAUUUUCAAGGGUUGUUUUGUGCUUAUGAUAUGGUUGGUGACUAUGCUUUGCUUCCUCAGUUGUAUCCUAGCCUUGAAGAGGCUGAUCUUGAAGGUCUUAGUUGUCCGGUUUCUAUUGAAGAGAUUAAGAAUAGUGUGUUUGUUAUUGGUAGAUUAAAGACCCCAGGACCUGAUGGUUUCCCUGCUCUUUUCUACCAAGAUUAUUGGGGGGUUUGCUCUGAUGAUGUCAUUUCCUUUUUACAUGAUUGCUUUAAUACUGCCACCCUUCUUGAUCAUUUAAAUGAGACUCUGAUUGCUUUGGUGCCUAAAGUGGAGAGGCCCAUGUUUAUGAAUCAGCUUAGGCCUAUUAGCCUUUGCAACUCUUUAUAAAGUGGUCUCUAAAAUCCUUGUGGCUAGGCUUAGGCCAUGUAUGACUAAGCUUGUCAGCUCUAGCCAAGUUUGUUUUGUUCUAGGGAGACAAAUUACGGAUAACAUUAUUGUUGCUUAAGAAGUGCUCCACAAUUUUAAAUAUGCCAAAGAGAAGAAGGGUUUUAUAGCUUGGAAAAUUGAUUUAUCCAAAGCUUAUGAUCAUAUGCAAUGGCCUUUUAUUAGGGAGGUUCUCUGGGAAGUGGGCAUUAAAGGAAGCAUUUUGGAGUUGCUUAUGCAGUGCAUCAUUUCUGUGCAGUACAAGGCCAUUCUUAAUGGGAAGCUAAUUGACUCUUUCUCUCCUCAGUGUGGUAUUAGGCAGGGGGACCCUCUCUCCCCUUAUAUAUUUGUGUUGUGUACAGAAAAACUCUCUCAUCUCAUUCAACAAAAGAUUCAGGAUAGAGCUUGGAAGUCUGUUCAGAUUUGUCAAGGAGGUCCUCAUAUUUCCCAUUUAUUCUUUGUUGAUGAUUUAAUCCUUUUUGGGGAAGCUACUAUUGAUCAAGCUUGGUUGAUGAAAUAGUGUUUGGAUGAUUUCUGUCAGUUGUCUGGUCAGCGAGUUAGCUUUGAAAAGUCUAUGAUAUGUGUUUCCCCAAAUACGUGCUCUGAUUUGGCUAAUUCAAUUGCUAUGAUAAGUGGUUCUCCUCUCACUGCUAGCCUUGGUAAGUACCUUGGUGUCCCACUAGAGUCAGUAAACAAGCAUAUCAAGAGGUUAUUGCUAAAGUCCAAAAGAGAUUAGCUUCUUGGAAGAGCCAUACGUUGUCUAUGGCUGGUAGAAUUACUUUGCUUCAAUCUGUUACUGCUGCUAUUCCUAUCUAUACUAUACAAACUGCCAAGUUGCCUAUGUCAGUCUGUGAUAAAUUGGAUCUGCUCAACAUGAAUUUUCUUUGGGGGCAUACCAGUAAUACUUCUAAAAUCCAUCUUGUCAACUGGGAGCAAGUGUGUAAACCUAAGGUAGUUGGUGGGUUAGGCAUUAAAAGGUCUGCUUGGAUGAACCAAGCUCUUUCGGCUAAGACUGGAUGAAGACUUCUUCAACAUGAGCAAGGUUUGUGGUCUCAGGUCUUCUAUGCUAAGUACUUAAAACACCAAAACAUUUUAACUGUGAAGGACUCUUUUUUCCCUUGUAGCUCUAGUGUCUGGAGGGGUGUUCUUUAUGGUAAUUCUGUCAUUUCCAAAGGUGUUAAGUGGAGAGUUGGUUAUGGGGAUAAUGUGUUAUUUUGGACUGAUAGGUGGUUGAGUUGUGGUCCUUGGUAUCAAUAUUUGCUCAUUGAUCUUUUUGAGCAAAUGCUUCAGCUGAAUGUUGGUGAUUUUUUGGAUGAGGGGGUCUGGGACUUUAACUGCUUAAGGGAAUGUCUUCCUUUUCAUAUUAUUCAGUUAAUUUUAAGUGUUCAUGCUGGUUUUAAUGGCAGUGGGGCUGAUAGAUAUAUUUGGCAGUUCACGCCUAAUGGUUCUUUCUCGGCUAAAUCAGCCUAUAGUUCCUUUUUACCUGCUGAGGCUUUAGUUAAAUGGGACUAGCAGUUUCUUUGGAGGUUACGGCUCCCACCUAAGGUUAAAACUUUUCUUUGGAUUGUUUGUCAUCGAAAGUUGCUUACUAAUGUGCAAAGGCAGAAGAGAGGCCUCACUCAAGUUCCUACUUGUCCUAGAUGUGAUUAACCAAUGGAAACUAUUGCUCACUUAUUUAAAGAUUGUCCUUUCUCUUUGGCCAUUUGGAAUUGUCUUCAAAUUGGAAAUAAUCCUAGCCCUGAUAUGGUGGAUUUUAAUGAGUGGCUGUUAAGGAAUCUACAAUCUAAAAGAAAGGUCUAUAAUGGGUUGCCUUGGCCUUUGGUUUUUGCACUUUAUCUGUCGUUUAUCUAGAAAUGGAGACGUAAAGGAAUUUUUUAUCAAAGGUUUGUUAUGCCUGGUGAACCAUAUCAUUUAAUUCUUCAGUAUGUUUUGGAGUGGUUUAAUGCUACCAAACCGCAUUCCCUUUCUUAUGUGCCGUUUGUUGUUCAACUUCAUUGGAUAGCCCCUACUUAUGGAGUUUGUAAGAUUAAAACAGAUGGAAGUCAUAACAGUGUUUCUGGGUUUAUUAGUGCUGGUGGUCUUUUAAGAGAUAAUUAUGGUGGUUGGAUUAAGGGUUUCUCUGUGAACCUGGGUGUUGGUUUUGUUCUUGUAGCGUUGUGGGGCAUUUUUUGGGGUCUUCAUUUGGCUUGGGAGUCUGGCUUUCAUGUUGUGGAGAUGGAAAGUGACUCUAGUGUGGCUGUGGCUCUUCUUUCUAGCUCUACUAUUUCCACACACCCCCUUUUUAGCCUUAUUAGGUGUUGCAAGUUAAAGGUGCAAGUUGGUCGGAGAUGUUUUGUUAUGCACAUCUUCAGAGAGCAGAAUGUGGCAGCUCACGUCUUGGCUUCUAAGAGUUCUGAGUUUGUUACUGGGGUGCAGUAUUUUACUGAGGUGCCUACAUUUCUUGCGACUUGUUUGCCUGAGGAUGCUAUUGGGAUGUCCAGGUCCAAUGUUGUUUGUGCUUAUAUUGGGUGUCCAGGUCCCGUGUUGUUUGUGCUUAGUCUGUUUGUUCUGGGCCCUUAGCCCCUCUUGUUGCCCAAAAAAAAAAAGUCAAAAACACCACCCAUCCCCACUUCCAGCGAUAUCUGUGGUGGUGUUGGGUGGGGAUGGUUGAUAUCGUUGCCAUUGUCUCCUCUCAGUCCCACCCCAACUUGACUACCUCCUCCCACGCCCCCACCAACCGAGCGAGUACAACCUAGCACUCUCUCUCUCUCUCUCUCUCUCUCUCUCUCUCUCUCUCUCUCUCUCUCUCUCUCUCUCUCUCUCUCUCUCUCUCUCUCUCUCUCUCUCUCUCUCAGAGGAGGCUUUUGCCUUUGUCAAAGGUGACGGUAAAAUCGACAAGGGAGGGCUUUUAGACCCACCCCUUCUCUCCUGUUUGUAGGGGUGGACAUGGUCUAGUUUGGCCUGAUUCGCACCUAAAAAAGAAAUAUAAAUCAAUAUUAUUCAUUUGAUGUGGUACGGUCUAGCUAUUGACUAAAAUGACUAGGAGAACCGGACCAAUCUGAACUUGCCGGUCUUGGUUCUAUGGAAUUGCAAUUAAUAUCGUAUCCGAUUAUAUUUAGAUUUUUCCGCAUUAAUUUAUAAAAAAUUUAUAAAAGUAUUCGGAUAUUAUUUAUUUAUUUAUUUAGAGGAACUAAUAAAUUUUCCUUAAAUUGUCAAAGGUUACAGGCUUGAGCGAACAAACAUGGCCUCAUAAAAACCUUGCCCAGGAAAAGUAUUUGGAUACGCUUUCAUUGCUGUAUACGGUUUAAUACCGGUCUUGCGUAGGAAUUGACAUAUCUUGCAAUACGAUGCCUUCCAAUUAGGUUAUGAACUCGAGCAAACAAACGUGUUCUUAUUGAUACCGUAUCCACUGCAAUUAAUACCGUAUCAAUUAUUGAGUUUUUUCCACAUCAGUUUAUAAAGUUUAUAGAAGUAUUUGGAUACGCUUUCAUCCUAUUCAAAAGUUGUACAUAAAGAGUAAAUUGUCGUAGACCUCCCCAAAUUAGGACCCCAAUCGAACUUAACUUUAUGAACUAAAAAAUCAGCUAAUUUAACACCCAAAUUAAUUAAAAUUGUCAAUUUAAUACCUACCGUUAGAUUUUAUCACUUUUCAUCUAAAAUUCCUUCGUACGUGGCAUGUGAGACACAUGUGCAAUAUAAUUGGAGAACAAUAUAGUUCUUCUAACCUGUUUUCCUACCACUAUUCAGCUUCCCUAAUAGUUGAGGCCAAAUUAAAAAUAGAGGAGCCCUAAUUUCACAAAUUCCACCAUUACAGACAAUUGUUAUGACAUAUACCCACCCAUAGCAUACAGUUGAGAAGAAGGAGAAGAAGAUGAAGUGGUUAGAAAAUGCAAAGGAACAUGCCUAGAGCAAAUGGUUCAGCCGAGUCCAAGUUCAAAUACCUGGAGCAAGAGGUUCUCUGUGUGUUCUAGAGAUAAGGAGCCUUCAGUCGGAUCUGACAUCAACUAUCCUCAUCAUUUGUUACCAAGUUAAUCGAGCCUAAACGUCUUGGUGCAAAACUUGCCUUUGUGGAGCAUUUGCCUUUUCACAACCAUUAACAGGGGGUAUAUUGACCCAGUUGUAAAGUGAGGAGGUAUUUAAGCCCCUAUUCUAAUUAAGAGUCUCUCUAUUGAUCUACACUUUCUUCCUUUAGACCCGUUUGGUUCAUGAGAAAUCAAUUGCUUUAAAUGUUUGGUAAGUUUAGGCAUAUAAGACAGAAAUAUCAUGCGGUGUUACUGCCAAAUUCACAAGGGAAGUUUUCAGUGAUGAAAAUUGGGAUCAAAUAGGUCAACAAUGGUAUAAGAGGGAUCUAAAUCCUAUUGGCAUUGAUGAAAAUUGUGUUGUGUAUUCAUUUAUCUUGGACAAAGGAGAGAACAUGUAGCACAAAAGCAAAGUAGAACACAUCAAUUUAUGUAUAGAGAACAUUAAUCAGUACUUUCUACUUCUUGGAUCAAGGAAGAGGUGCCAAGGACGAUGUAGCACAACCAAGAGCCUUUGUCACGCCAGUAAUUGUGGGCUUGACAUUAGAACACACAGAGGUAAGAGGGCCUUUGUCUCCACCAUAGGUGAGAUCAAUGUCAGUCAACUCCACAUUCUCACACGGUUUGCCCGUGGUACAUACAAGCUUGACUGCAAGUGGAGUGAAAGAUGAGCCCUUAAUGUUCUUGAAGCUGACAUUGUUGAUCUUAACUUUUGACGGAGGCUUUUGUUCACACUUAGUAUAUGGGCAGUACAAUUGGUCUAUGAGGAUAGGGUUACUGACAUUAACCAUGAUAAUAUCCUCAUAGUGUAUACCCGAGGCAGAGCUAGGCGAAGGAGAAUCUGGAAAUGUUUUGAUUCUCACACCGUUCUCCGUAUUAGUCAGGGUGCAGUUCUUAACUAUGAUCCCGGUCACAUCCUUUUCUUCCUUAUAUUUUCCAAGGCUUCCAAUGCUUAUUCCAUGGCCUGGCCCACAAGUAACACCAGUCACUGUGAUUUUGUGGGAGUCAUCACCAAUAGAAAUACAGUCAUCCCCAGUUCCAAUCUUUGAAUGAGUAAUGUUGAUACCAGUCGAAGCCCCGAUAUGGAUUCCAUCUGUGUUUCUGCUCUCGUCAGGUGCUGUGAUGGUAAGCUGUUGAAAUGUAGUAUGGUUGCACCGGAAAACAUGGAUGUGGAAAAAUUUGCUGUUAAGUGAAGUUAUGUCCUGAACUUUGGAAUUUGUGAGGAAUUCAAACCGCAGAUUAACGGGAGGAGGUUUGCAAUUUUUGUUUUUGUGGCAGUCAUUUUGAUUCCAAGAAAGUGCUCCUUGGCCAUCAAAAGUCCCACCACCUGAUAAGGUGAGCAUGUCAAUGUACUGAAAACCAACCCAAGUAUCCGGUCUUGUGAGUUGGCCAGCGUCUGCUGGAGCCUGCAAUGUGCCUUGAACUUGCAUCUCAAUAGGAGCCUUACAGGGGCCUCUGAAAGUUGCUUCUUUUAACUUGUAUGUCCCGCUCGGAACGACAACUUUACUCGCGGAUGGCGAUGCACAUGCAUCACUCCAAGCCUUGGCCAAGGCCGUACUGACAUCAGAGCCAGGCUUUGCACCGUAUGUUGCACUUGUCACGUCAAACACACUAGCAUGAGCCUUAGGUGUAGAUGCUAACAAUAAGCACAAAAGCAUUGCCAAGAAACUUAAUUUCAUAGCCAUCUUGAUUUUCCUUCCAAUUUGUUAUUUUAUUCUCUGUUUUCUUUUUUUUCCCUUUGGAAGGAUGAUGAAACUCCAUUUUGAGUUGAGGCCAAUUUAUAGUCCGAUUGGGAAGGCUCAACACCAUCAAACUAUCCAACCAAUCACUAACUAUUUUUAUACACAGUUGCAUUCUAGUUUAGCUUUAUGUCCUAUAAUUAGUAAGCCGUUUAACCUUGAGAAUAUUCAUCACCAAAUCUCUAUCUAGAACGUGCUAAGCUGUUUGUAGUACUGUUGUCCUCCUCCACACCCCGCAAUAUAUGUAUAUUCCAAAAAAGGAGGACCAAAACCAUGCAUACACACCUGGAUAGAGUUAACAAGAUGAACAGGAAAAGACCAUGCCUACACUAUUGGCGCAUCUACGUAUAUACUUUUUCUAAUAUCAUCCAACUAGAAAGUGCCUCACCUUAACAACUUUAAUUCAUCUACUUAGCUUAAAUAAUCCAUUUGCACCAUUGUGGUUGUUAGUUCAUCUAUUUUUUACCAUACUCUUUUAAUUUUUCUUAUAAUCCAUAGGUUUUGCUUGCUAUCUACCGGUGACAUUGAUCUCACCUACAAUGGAAACAAAGGCCCUCUUACCUCUCAAUGUUAAUGUCAAGCCCACCAUUAUUUGUGUGACAAAAGCCCUUGCCUGUGCUACCUAUGCUGGGUUAAAGAAAUGGAAAGUACUAAAGAUAAAUUGUUGUGUUCUUUGGUUUUUUUGAUUUUGUGGUGCUUGUACAGGUCUUUUUUCUUCGCUCAGAUACCUUCACAUGUUUUGAGCUAUAAAAUUCUAAUAUAUUUAAUAUUUGCAAAUAAAUUGCUAGUGUUAAAACAUACAUUUACUAAUUCAUCAUUGUCUAGAUAAUGCUUCAGUUUCUACUCUAUAUACUUUUCUUGGCCUACAACCAGUUCGAUGCUUGGCCAAUUGAAGCUGGGAUUAGUAUACCAGCUUGAUUUUGAUCCUUCCACUAUAUUAAUUGAAGAUUAUCAGACAAAGUGAAUGUGUGUGUGUAUAUAUAUGUAUAUAUAUAUAUAUAUAUUUAUUCUCUCAUCCGGACGGUCUGGACGUUAUUAUUGUGCGGCCGCCAUUGUAAGCAAGGAGUACACUUUUAAAACAAAUUAAUAUUUAAAGAGUGGCUAUACUUGUUAUUUAUGCGAAUAUUCUAUACUAUAAAUAUUUGAAUGGAUGUCAAGCAUAUAGCCGACCAGCUAUACUGCAUAAAAGUGUGUUCUUUUUUGUAAUUAAGUAAUAUCUUACCAUUUUAAAAUUAAUUUAAUUUUUAUGUAUUUAGUGAAUAAUUAUUAUUGAAAUAUUUUACUAAUUUCAAUAUUUACUUCAUAAAUUGUAAUUAAUUAUUUUAAAUUAUUUUGUGGACUUUAAUUUUCUACAAAAUUAGUUUAUUUUGUUUAAUAUGUUCAAAUAUUUUAAUAGUAUAGCCGUGCGACUGUACUAUUAAAAUAUAUUAAUAUUUAAAGCGUAUAGCCAUGCGGCUAUACCUGUUAAGUAUAUUUUAGUUUUAAGAGUAUAGCCGCACGACAGUACUUUUAAAAUAUUUAGACAUAUUGAAUAUUCAAACAGAUUAAACUAAAUAAACUAAUUUUGUACAAAAUAAAAUAAAAAAACAAAGUCCACAAAAUAAUUUAAAAUAAUUAAUUACAAUUUAUUAAGUAAUUUUUGAAAUUACUAAAAAAUUUAAAUACUAAUUGUUCACUAAAUUUAUAAUAAUUAAAGCAAUUAAAAAAGGCUAAGAUCUAACUUUUUAUCUUUCAAUGGAUCCAUCUGCUUUGAGUUUCAUAGUAUAGAUCAACCCGCAUCCCACAGUAUUCUUUCCAUAAGGUAAAGGCACGAGCUCUCAUGUGGCAAUCUUCUGGAGAGCUCGCAUGUAACACCCCAUCCCAAAAAUACUGUUCAAUUGAUUAUUUAAUUGUGGAUUUACAAUUAAGCCCUUGGGGGUAGGGUUACUUUAGUCACUUUUCAAUCUGGACGGUUUUUGAGGAUUUUAGUAACACCAUUUUGUAGAGCUCGCUCUCAUGAGUUCGUAGACACAUAGUGGGCUCAAAUCGGAGUUAUAACGAAGAAGUUGUGGUCAACGGAAGUGCAGUGGCAAAAACGUAAAAUUUUCAAAGUUGGAUUUUAAAAUACCCAAUCCAGGUAUGAAUCUUCAUCCCAUCCACGUGCUCUAGUUGUUUAUGUUGGUAUCUUGGAUAAAUUUUGAGGUUUUACAUGUCGUUUAAAAUACCCAUUUUAGCCAACGGUUUCGGCUUCAAUUCGGCUAGUUCCGACUAGUUUUUGGCCGUGGUCCAAGAACAAAACUUGAUCCCCUAGUAAGUCUAAAUCUGUUGGCAUAGGUAUUCACUGGUGGUUUGGAGAUUUUUCGUCGCUGAAAAAUCUUUUAAGACACCCACGCGCUGCCGGCGGUGGGUGGCGGCCCAUGGAGUUCUAAAUUGUUACCCUUGUUGUCCUGAGCACGACGGUAUGCUUGGAUUUCGAUUUGAUUAUCGUUUGACUGUCGAACGGAUAUUGCACCUGUUAUGCGAUAUUCGGGUUCAAUAGGUUUGGACUAUUCAAUCGGUCCCAUUUUCUAAUGCGUUGUUCCUCGUACUUCUAAGAUUUGUGUUCGAACUGGUGGAUCGAGAAUGGGAGUCUCGGAUACUCCUAAUCAAUGAUUCUAGGGCUAAGUAAACCGGUUACCAUCCGAUCGUGUGAUCGAGACCAAACUCUGAAAACUUGUUAAGUAGACCUUGUUGGACUUAUAGUAAAGUUUGGAUCGAAAAUAGGAGGUUGUGGACCCUUAGAGCCCAAUUGGUCAAAUUCAGCGAUCGGGGUCAAACCGACCGUUAGAUCGUGACGGGACUUCUAGAAUGGGCUGAACUUUUGGUUAUGGACCAAUAGGAAUUGUCAUAUAGCAAUUGGGGUUGUGGGCCCUUCGAGCCCAGUUGACUUAGAUUGUGGGCUUUGUUGGCUCGGUCGAGGCCUUUUAGUAGUUGUAAUUGUAGUUGGAGGUUUGUUUUAAAAUGGUAUUGUGUUUUGACCGUUUCAUUAAAUUUUUAUGAAUUAUUAUGUUAUCGCUUUUACUUUCCAUGAAUAAGGAAUGGCUUGGAUAACCGGAUUUUGGCAUGAAUAAGGAAUUAAUUAAAUGCCUGAUUGUAUGUCUAUAUUUAAAUAUAUGCUCGGUGGCUUGAAAUCGAUGAAUGAUGGAUACUAGUUUUCUCAAUAGUAUGUUGUACAUAUUUGAAUGUAGUUUGAGAACAGUUUUGAAAGAUUAUGCAUGGUCAAGUUCAAGUUAAGGAAUUUUGGGAUUGAUCACAUUUUAAAAAAGGAUUUUUGGUUAUCUAUUUAAAAAUUGAUUUUUGGAAAUUUGAGAGAGAAUUUGGAAACUGGAUUAGUGGAAAAAGAGGAAUUUUAUGAUAAGUUUCGGAAAAUGGUUUUCAAAACCCACCACCAGAGUACCGCCCCCCCAGUUGCCUUCGGAACAGUCUAGUCAUUUAUGACAAUGCCCACGAGUCUCGGGGACCCCUGAACCAUGUGGUGUGAGGAUUUGCGUUCUCGGGUUGAUUAUAUCAUCCUGAGUCCUGCGCGGGGAUUUGACGGAUAUGGGUUUCAGGCUGAUCACCCGAUUCUGCGAGGAUAUGCGUUCUCGGGCAGACAACGUAUUCCAUGAGUUACGUGGGAAAGUAGUGGGGAAAGUGACGCCCUCCUCCCCCCUUGGAUUUUUUUUCCCUCAUCACUGGAAAGUUUGGGAAAAUGAACCAACAUUAAAUGCACAUUUUUCAUGAUCAUUUUGUCCCCCAUAAAAAUUUAGAAUUACAAUAUAUCAUUAAAUGCGUUCUUUUUUUAUUUGAGUUAAUAUGGGUAUAAUUGGAAAAUUAUACAAAUUUUGUUUUCCAUUCCUACUCAAAACGAACAUGGGAAAAGAAAUAAAGUGAUAUCUCCUGGUUACUUUCAUUUCGCAUCUCUUGGGAAAUGACAUGGGAAGUGAUUUCCCCUCAAAUCCAUUCUGUGAACCAAAUGGGGCCUUAAGGUAAGAGCUUUUCUCCCAUAACAAGAGUUUUCUUUAGGGUUUUCCAUCCCUGGUUUGUCUGGGGUUUUCUUUAUUUUCUUACCAAACUGGUGAUAUACCAGGGUUUCCCUUCUAUAUCCAAGUAGUUGGAAUGGAAGAGGUGGUAAAUUCAUUGGAGAAAGUACUCAUCCUAACUAAAGACGAGAAUGAUUCGAUUUAGUAGGACAAAAUGAUGUCGAUGACGUGGGGGAGCGACUCAAGACGGGCCUGGUUGGAAAUGUCUUUACAACUAAUGUUUUCAACCGGGAGACAUUCAAGCAAACGAUGUUGAUGAUUUAGAACACAGCUCGUGAGGUGGGGGUGAAAGAUUUAGGUGAAAAUAUCUUUUUGUUCAUCUUUGUGACGGAAGGGGAUUGACUGAAGGUGUUGUGCAGUGGGCCUUGGAAUUUUGAAAAGCUCUAGUAUAACUUGAGAUUCCUGGUGGUAGUAUUGCUCCAUAAAAAAAUGCAUCUAAAGUAUGCAGAAUUUUGAAUUGAAGUCCAUAACGUACCACUGAGUUGUGAGCCGACAAAUAUGGGGAGACAAAUUGGGAAUAUCUUGGACAGUGUUUGGAUGUAACAUAGGGCAUGGAUGGGGAGUGUUUGGGUAGAUUUAUGUGGAUGCGUGUUUGUUUGGAUGUCUCCAAGUCGUUACGGUGAGGAAAAAGGUGAUUCUACCUUCUGGAAACAUAGAGUUAGUAGAUUUCCGAUACGAACAAUUGCCAGAAUUUUGUUUUGUGUGCGACAGAGUGGGUCAUGUGUUCAAGGUGUGUUAUUUUGUCGACCAGGCAGCCAAGCAAGCCAGCAAAAAGCCUAAAGGGACAUGGUUAGAGGCCACCAAUGAUUUUAUCACUACAAGGGCAAGUAGUCCUAAGCGAUCCAACUGUGGUGGUAUGAGUAGACAUGUAUACGAAUAUCUGUGUAUGUGUGUGCACUGGGACCUAGGAAUUUUUUAGCGAAGAUGCAAUUUUGAAAGGCUAAAAAAUGUUUGUGGAUUGAACAUCUAAGGUUUUUUUUACCUAAAUUGACCUUAGGUCCCUUUAUGUAUUCAUAUAAUACAUUAAAAAUUAUUUUAUAUAAAAAUAUUGAAUAAGUAUGAAAAAUGGUUUUUUGGAAUAAUCAUUUUCACAAGAUAAUUUUGGCGGCUUUUAUUCCUUACACAUCAAAUAAGAAAACUUAAUUUUAUGAAAUUUUAGUAUGAAGUAUAUAUUGACUUAAUGAGCCAUCAUUUUUAUCAUAAAUCGUAUUUUGCACUAAAACCGAUUUUUUCAUAUUUUGAGUUGGUGGGAAUUUAAUUUUCUAGUAUUUUUAUUUGAAUCCAAAUGGGGGGUACGUCCUUAUUUACAUUGUAAACUUAAGUAAAUGGAGUAAUAUAAAAAUAAAUGAAAGUAAAACAACAAAGACAUUUACUUAAAUGUUGAAAAUGGAAAUAAGGUAAUCUGUACAUCAGCUGAGCAAAGGGGCAAUUUGAAGCCUUAAUAGGUCCGUCACUGCGUGUGUGUAGAAGAUUACCAUAAUCUUUUACGGGAACACAAAAGAAAAAUAGAAGACAUUAUUUUAAAAGUAUAAUAGAAUGGAAUGUCAUACCAUAGUUAUUUGGUAAAUCAUCGAUUCGAUUGAAUAUAGAUGUCAUCCUUCUAAUCUUAAAGGUUCGUUUUCAUUUAUACAAAGAACAUGACCUCUCCACAAAAAAACCCUGGCCCCCUUUCUCCCAAAAAACACUCUUAGAGCCUUUUCCAUCUUGAGGGGGGAAGAAGCCAUUAUUCUUCCCCCCUCUCCUCUCCUCUCUUCUCUUCCUCUCUUCCUCCUUUCACCUCUUCCCCCAUUUUCAAAGACAAAGGGUUUUCCCUAUUUGUCUUCGUUUUGUUAUGAUAUUCAUCCAACCAUUAGUGGCGGCUGCGGCUCAGCGUCAGAUCUUCACCUAUAUUUCGGCGUCAGAUCUCCACCACCAUCUUUUUCGCAAUUUCUUUAUGUUUGGAAUAAGUUGCAGAGACUCUUUGGGUUCUCUGUGUAGUUUUCACCUCUCCUUUUGUGAGAGUUUUUCAUCUCUCAUUUGUUAGAGAUUUUCAUCUCUCCUUGGUGAGAGUUUUAUUUGUAUUGUUAUGGCUUGGUUUUUUCAAGCUUUAUCUCUUUUUUAUUAUUCUAAUUUGCAAUCUUAGUUGGGAUGCCUAUGCCAGAGUUUCUUCGAUCUUGCCUGACCAUUGGUGGAGACAUACCUGAUUUUCUUAAUUUGCUCUGUUAUUGUAAUGGCCCUUUUGUGACUAGUUUGUAUUAGCCAUUUGUGACUAGUGGCGUUUUUGGCUGAAUUAUGAAUGCAAUCAUAGAGUUUCUCAAAAAAAAAAAAAAAGAUGUCAUCCUUCUUGGUGGACCAAUUAAUAAGUCCAAGUAACACUUUUUCAUGAUUCUUUUGAACAAAAAUCUUCUAAGAUUACUGCAAUCAAAUCAGAAGUCGAUACAUUUAUUUUCUUUGGCGAGAGAAUCCACAAUACGACUCUCAUGCUUGCAUAUCAUCUAUUUAAAAAUAUAAAAAUCCAAAUUGUUAUAACAAACUGCGUACUUAUACGAUGAAGACAAAUAUUAAGAGUGCUGCUAUUUCCACUCACCUGUCCUAUUUUCCCACAUACCUUAUCUUCCCACCCACCAUAUAAAUUUUAAAAAACACAAUCCUAUUUUUCCACCCACCAAUAUUCCUAAAAUACCCUUUUAAUUGUUACCUCAUUUCCUCUCUCCUUUAUUCUCUCUGCUCAUGUCUUCUCUCCAUAUGAUGCCCACACAUCUCUCUCUCAUUUUUGCUGUAUCUUAUUUUCUACGAAAUUUGAAAUCUGAAAGCAAACAAUAGUAAGUAAUACAGUAGUAAAACGAUAAAAGAAGCAACUUCAUAUCACGAAAUUUGAUGACAAUGGCUAGUCAGCAUGCAAAAAAUGACCAGCCCUUGAAACCAAAACCUGGCGCACGCUCCCCAAUUUCUAAACGCACCCAGCAACCUCUUUACCCACCUUCCAAACUUUCUGGUCCGCUGACAGAAACUUGUUCAUCCUCAGGUUUUCAUAUUUUUAAUUUGUUUAAGAAAAAAAAUUAGGGUCCAAGAAAUACUGAUCUCCCAAUGCUUUAAGUAAUUGUAAAGAUCUUAGAAAUUCUGUUCAAAAAGGAUUUCCUUACCUUUUCGCCAAAAUCGUUCUCUUCAACAUCCAUUCCCCUAUUGUUUUCUUCUUCAUAAACAAUUUGAUUGAAUGAAUCGAAAAGAGAAGAAAAUUCUUUGAGAAUUGAGUUCUGCUCAUUGAAAAGUCAUAAGAGGAAUCAUGAGCUAGGAGUCAUAGCUUUCUUUUGUUUUUUUGUCUUUCUGUCAAACGAUAGGGUUACGUAAGAACAUAGUCUGAGUUUUUUUUUUUUUUUUCCUCUUUCUUUUUCCUGAAGUCCUUUUAAGUCAUUUUAUAUAAUGAGGUUAAAUUUGUCUUUAAAAGUUUAAAGAUAAGGUGGGUGGAAACAUAAGACAGGUGGGUAGAAAUAGCAGCACUCAAUAUUAAUAUGGGAUAACUUGGCUGUCAUAGAAGGUAAUGAAAUAGAGAAUUAAUAUUUCCAAAAGGAUAGAAAGAAUAAUUCUUUUAGGAAAACCAAAGGUUACACACAAAAGAGGUAAUUCCAAAACCCUUGCUUGAAAACCCUAAAGGCACACAUGCCUCCUCUCUCUGUGUGGCUCUCACACCACCCCCAUUUUCUCCCUAAGAAAAUACUCCUAUUCCUUUUUAAAAUACCCACAUCUCCUUGAGACUAUUUUUCGACUUGGGCAUCGGAGGGCCCAAGACCACCACCACACUGGUGUUUAUCCGAUUUAUUAUUCUUGUUUUGCAGGAAAUCUUGGAAGAACAUUUAAAGUGGAGUUAAGAUCUUCCAUAAAUCUACCUUAAUUUCUACUAACAUGAGAAGAACUUCCCAAGUGUAAAAAUAAAAGUAAUUGUAUAGUAAAGGCAUCAUAAAUUAGAAAACUAAUAAGAAAAAGAAUAGAAAACUACCAUUGUAGACCAUUCCUUUUAAGAAUUCAUCAUAAAUAGGUUCAGAAUUCUAUGCCUGGUAUAAUAACAAUUUGCUAUUAAAAAAGAAUAGGUUAGUUAGGCCAUUAAUACAUAUGUUAAAUGAUGACGUGGCAAACAUGAGUUUCAAUUUUUUUGCUGAUGUGCAAUAAAAUAUUCAUAAAAAAGUAUUUAUUUUUGAAAUAAUUUAAAAAAAAGUAAAAAAAAAUUAAGUAAAAUAAUAACAUAACAUUAAAUUGAAAAAAGUCAAAAUUAAGCGAUGAUGAUGUUGUAAUUCAGCAAGGGGCAAUUCCCUCAAUACAUUUCUCAGGCAAAGUAAAGAGCUCUUUGUAUCGGCCUUGGCGUUUUGCUGUAAUUAUUAAGCUCAUGGGUCGUCCUCUGGCUUACACAUUUCUCAGAUCUCGUCUUCUCCAGAGAUGGGCACUUAAGGGUCCUAUGAGCUUAAUAGAUCUAGAGAAUAACUACUUCAUUGUGAAGUUCCUUUAUGAGGAAGAUAUGAGAUACGUGCUCACUGGUGGUCCUUGGCAAAUUGCUGGCCAAUACAUUGUGACACAGAAAUGGAAGCCUGGGUUUAAUGCGAAGGAGGAGAAGAUCACCCAUAUGACUGCUUGGGUUUGAAUUAAUGGGCUGAACGUUGAAUAUUUUCGUGUUGAUGUUAUGGAAAAAAUUGGAAAUCUUGUUGGUGCUACGGUCAAGGGGGAUGCUCCUACUCUCAGUCAAGGUCGUGGUAAGUUUGCUCGAAUUUGUGUGGAACUUGAUUUGGCUAAGCCUAUUCAUUAAGAUUGAAGGCCGUACAUAUGGGGUUGUGUAUGAGGGAAUUAAUUUGGUUUGCUUUGAAUGUGGAUGUUUUGGGCAUGGGAGAGAUUCUUGCCCUAUUAUUUUGCAAGCCAAACAGCAGGUUCCAGAGUCAGAUAAUGCUGAUUGUAUGGAGGAUAUUUCUACUGUCCAGGUUAAUGUGAAUUUAGGUGCUGCUACAAAGGAGGCUGAGCUUCCAGCAAAGAUGCACGGGGAGUUGAUGUUGUUGAAGCCAUGGAAUUUUAGGAAGAAUAGCACAAAUGAUAUACGGAAGGGUGCUGAGCUUAGCAAGAGGAAUACAAAGGAUACUGGUACGAAAGCUAUUAGUCCUGUCUUUGGUUCUCGUUUCAAUGUGUUGAUUGAGGAGGUUGGCAGAGAAGAGGAUAUGGAGGGAUCUACUCCUGUUAAGACUAGUGAUUCUAGUUCUAAAAAACAGGGUUCUUUUGCCAAUACUUAUUCUACUAAGGGAAAAGUGCUGGGGUGAAAUUUGCUUCCUCUCGUGACUCUGGCACAUGGGUGUUUGAAAAACCUCUCAAAGACAUUUCCAAUUCCGUGGUAGCUAAUUCUAGUGGUGGUGGUGUUAAAAGUGGUUCUGUUUUAAGGAGGCCUUGGAAGAAAGAGCUGGGCCUAAAUCUUUCUCUUGUCAUGAUAUUGAACCUGUGAGGUCUGAUAUUCAAGAUGAUGUUCGAGGGAAGUUUUCUUUUGAUUUAGGUGGCUCUCUUUUUCCGAAGUUGCCUUUGGGUAAGGGAGGUUCAUUUUGUGGUCAUGAACCUCCUGAUAUCAGUGAGAUGGGAAUUAAUGAGGUUGAGCCUUCCGAUGCGAGUGAUAUGGAUCAUCAGGGUAAUUUCUCUGAACAUUGUGAGUUUGAUACUGGACUAGAAGCUGAUAGAUCUUUUGAGCAUGAUGGUUUUGAAGCCGUUGAGGCUGAGCAUGUGUAGAUUUAGGUUUGUACCUAAUAUUAUCCCUAAUUAUGAUCAUUUUAUGAUGAAUAUUAUUGCUUGGAAUGUUAGAGGUGCUGGUAAAGAUAGGUGUGCUAGUACUAUUAAGGACGCUAAAAAAGGCUUAUCCCAUUGAUGUGUUUGCUAUUCUUGAGCCUCGAAUAAGUGGCUCUAGGGCUCUCAGUGUUGCCCAGAGUUUGGGUUUUUCUCAUUACCAUAUUGUUGAUGCUUUUGGUUUUUCUGGGGGUGUUUGGUUGUUGUGGAACGGGAAUUCAGUUUCUCUUCGAGUUAUUCCGCACUCUAGCCAAUCUAUCACUGCGUUAGUAACUUUGAGGAAUCAUAGGUGCCUCCUCGCUAUUGUUUAUGCAAACCCUUGCCCUGGGAUUUGAGAAGCUUUGUGGAAGUACUUUGAUGGUCUUAUUGAAGCUUCCAAUCUGCCAUGGCUUGUUCUAGGUGAUUUUAAUGAUAUUGUGAGUGUGGAUGAGAAAUGUAGGGGUAAUUUAGAUCAAGGUGGUAAAAAUUUUGUUGAGUGGAUUGAUCGUAACCAUUUGGUUGACCUGGGUUUCACUGGGGCAAAGUUUACUUGGUGUAAUAAACAGAAUGCUGAAGGAAAUAUUUGGAAGAGGCUUGAUAGGGGCCUUUGUAGUAUUGAUUGGCGUCUUUUGUUCCCUGAGGCUCACCUCCUGCAUCUUCCUAGGGUGAAUUCAGAUCACUGUCCUAUUUUGGUGCGCCUUGACUCCAAACAUUAUCCUAAUAGAACAAAUGUGCCUUUUCGUUUCCAAGCCAUGUGGAUGUCUCAUCCUGAUUUUAAGGAAUUUGUUACGAACCUUUGGAGUUCUGGUGAUGGUCAUGCUGUGCACAGAUCAGCUAGGCUCGUGGCUCCGCUUGGCAUUUGGAAUCAGCAGGUUUUUGGGUGUUUAUUUACAAAGAAAAGGCAUCUUUUAGCUAGACUUGCAGGAAUUUAAAAGAAGCUUUGUCAUGAGCAUAAUCCUUUCCUUAGUGAGCUUGAGGUUGAGCUUACUAAAGAUUACAAUUUACUACUGGAUCAAGAAGAGACUUUUUGGCUACAAAAGUCCAGGAAUACCUGGCUUAAAGAAGGGGACAGGAAUACUCAGUUCUUUCAUCUAUCUAGAGUUGUUAGACGAAGAAUGAAUAAGUUGGAAUGGUUACAUGAUGAUUUUGGGGAUUGGAUUACUGAGAAACAGAGCAUGAAACAUAUUAUUGUUAAUUAUUUUCAAGGGUUGUUUUGUGCUUACGAUAUGGUUGGUGACUAUGCUUUGCUUCCUCAGUUGUAUCCUAGCCUUGAAGAGGCUGAUCUUGAAGGUCUUAGCUGUCCGGUUUCUAUUGAAGAGAUUAAGAAUAGUGUGUUUGCUAUUGGUAGAUUAAAGACCCCAGGACCUGAUGGUUUCCCUGCUCUUUUCUACCAAGAUUAUUGGGGGGUUCGCGCUGAUGAUAUCUUUUCCUUUUUGCAUGAUUGCUUUAAUACUGCCACACCCUUCUUAAUCAUUUAAAUGAGACUCUGAUUGCUUUGGUGCCUAAAGUGGAGAGGCCUAUGUUUAUGAAUCAGCUUAGGCCUAUUAGCCUUUGCAACUCUUUAUAAAGUGGUCUCUAAAAUCCUUGUGGCUAGGCUUAGGCCAUGUAUGACUAAGCUUGUCAGCUCCAGCCAAGUUUGUUUUGUUCUAGGGAGACAAAUUACGGAUAACAUUAUUGUUGCUCAAGAAGUGCUCCACAAUUUUAAAUAUGCCAAAGAGAAGAAGGGUUUUAUAGCUUGGAAAAUUGAUUUAUCCAAAUCUUAUGAUUGUAUGCAAUGGCCUUUUAUUAGGGAGGUUCUCUGGGAAGUGGGCAUUAAAGGAAGCAUUUUGGAGUUGCUUAUGCAGUGUAUCAUUUCUGUGCAGUACAAGGCCAUUCUUAAUGGGGAGCUAAUUGACUCUUUCUCUCCUCAGUGUGGUAUUAGGCAGGGGGACCCUCUCUCCCCUUAUAUAUUUGUUUUGUGUAUGGAAAAACUCUCUCAUCUCAUUCAACAAAAGAUUCAGGAUAGAGCUUGGAAGUCUGUUCAGAUUUGUCAAGGAGGUCCUCAUAUUUCCCAUUUAUUCUUUGUUGAUGAUUUAAUCCUUUUUGGGGAAGCUACUAUUGAUCAAGCUUGGUUGAUGAAAUAGUGUUUGGAUGAUUUCUGUCAGUUGUCUGGUCAGCGAGUUAGCUUUGAAAAGUCUAUGAUAUGUGUUUCCCCAAAUACGUGCUCUGAUUUGGCUAAUUCAAUUGCUAUGAUAAGUGGUUCUCCUCUCACUGCUAGCCUUGGUAAGUACCUUGGUGUCCCACUAGAGUCAGUAAACAAACAUAUCAAGAGGUUAUUGCUAAAGUCCAAAAGAGAUUAGCUUCUUGGAAGAGCCAUACGUUGUCUAUGGCUAGUAGAAUUACUUUGCUUCAAUCUGUUACUGAUGCUAUUCCUAUCUAUACUAUACAAACUGCCAAGUUGCCUAUGUCUGUCGGUGAUAAAUUGGAUCUGCUCAACAUGAAUUUUCUUUGGGGGCAUACCAGUAAUACUUCUAAAAUCCAUCUUGUCAAUUGGGAGCAAGUGUGUAAACCUAAGGUAGUUGGUGGGUUAGGCAUUAAAAGGUCUGCUUGGAUGAACCAAGCUCUUUUGGCUAAGACUGGAUGAAGACUUCUUCAACAUGACCAAGGUUUGUGGUCUCAGGUCUUGUAUGCUGAGUACUUAAAACACCAAAACAUUUUAACUGUGAAGGACUCUUUUUUCCCUUGUAGCUCUAGUGUCUGGAGGGGUGUUCUUUAUGGUAAUUCUGUCAUUUCCAAAGGUGUUAAGUGGAGAGUUGGUUAUGGGGAUAAUGUGUUAUUUUGGACUGAUAGGUGGUUGAGUUGUGGUCCUUUGUAUCAAUAUUUGCUCAUUGAUCUUUUUGAGGAAAUGCUUCAGCUGAAUGUUGGUGAUUUUUUGGAUGAGGGGGUCUGGGACUUUCACUGCUUAAGGGAAUGUCUUCCUUUUCAUAUUAUUCAGUUAAUUUAAGUGUUCAUGCUGGUUUUAAUGGCAGUGGGGCUGAUAGAUAUAUUUGGCAGUUCACGACUAAUGGUUCUUUCUCGGCUAAAUCAGCCUAUAGUUCGUUUAGUUAAAUGGGACUGGCAGUUUCUUUGGAGGUUACGACUCCCUCCUAAGGUUAAAACUUUUCUUUGGAUUGUUUGUCAUCGAAAGUUGCUUACUAAUGUGCAAAGGCAGAAGAGAGGCCUCACUCAAGUUCCUACUUGUCCUAGAUGUGAUUAUCCUAUGGAAACUAUUGCUCACUUAUUUAAAGAUUGUCCUUUCUCUUUGGCCAUUUGGAAUUGUCUUCAAAUUGGAAAUAAUCCUAGCCCUGAUAUGGUGGAUUUUAAUGAGUGGCUGUUAAGGAAUCUACAAUCUAAAAGAAAGGUCUAUAACGGGUUGCCUUGGCCUUUGGUUUUUGCACUUUAUCUGUCGUUUAUCUGGAAAUGGAGAUGUAAAGGAAUUUUUUUAUCAAAGGUUUGUUAUGCCUGGUGAACCACAUCAUUUACUUCUUCAGUAUGCUUUGGAGUGGUUUAACGCUACCAAACCGCCUUCCCUUUCUUAUGUGCCGUUUGUUGUUCAACUUCAUUGGAUAGCCCCUACUUAUGGAGUUUGUAAGAUUAACACAGAUGGAAUUCGUAACAGUGUUUCUGGGUUUAUUAGUGCUGGUGGUCUUUUAAGAGAUAAUUAUAGUGCUUGGAUUAAGGGUUUCUCUGUGAACCUGGGUGUUGGUUUUGUUCUUGUAGCAUUGUGGGGCAUUUUUUGGGGUCUUCAUUUGGCUUUGGAGUUUGGCUUUCGUGUUGUGGAGAUGGAAAGUGACUCUAGUGUGGAUGUGGCUCUUCUUUCUAGCUCUACUAUUUCCACACACCCCCUGUUUAGCCUUAUUAGGUGUUGCAAGUUAAAGGUGCAAGCUGGUUGGAGAUGUUCUGUUAUGCACAUCUUCAGAGAGCAGAAUGUGGCAGCUCACAUCUUGGCUUCUAAGAGUUCUGAGUUUGGCACUGGGGUGCAGUAUUUUACUGAGGUGCCUACAUUUCUUGCGACUUGUUUGGUUGAGGAUGCUAUUGGGGUGUCCAGGUCCAAUGUUGUUUGUGCUUAUAUUGGGUGUCCAGGUCCCGUGUUGUUUGUGCUUAGUCUGUUUGCUCUGCGCCCUUAGCCCCUCUUGUUGCCAAAAAAAAAAAAACAGUCAAAAACACAACCCAUCCCCACUUCCAGCGAUAUCUGUGGUGGUGUUGGGUGGGGAUGGUUGAUAUCGUUGCCAUUGUCUCCUCUCAGUCCCACCCCAACUUGACUACCUCCUCCCACGCCCCCACCAACCGAGCGAGUACAACCUAGCACUCUCUCUCUCUCUCUCUCUCUCUCUCUCUCUCGNNNNNNNNNNNNNNNNNNNNNNNNNNNNNNNNNNNNNNNNNNNNNNNNNNNNNNNNNNNNNNNNNNNNNNNNNNNNNNNNNNNNNNNNNNNNNNNNNNNNAAAUCGACAAGGGAGGGCUAUUAGACCCACGCCUUCUCUCCUGUUUGUAGGGGUGGACAUGGUCUAGUUUGGCCCGGUUUGCACCUAAAAAAGAAAUAUAAAUCAAUAUUAUUCAUGUGAUGUGGUAUGGUCUAGCUAUUGACUAAAAUGACUAGGAGAACCGGACCAAUCUGAACUUGCCGGUCUUGGUUCUAUGGAAUUGCAAUUAAUAUCGUAUCCGAUUAUAUUUAGAUUUUUCCGCAUUAAUUCAUAAAAAAUUUAUAAAAGUAUUCGGAUAUUAUUUAUUUAUUUAUUUAGAGGAACUAGUAAAUUUUCCUUAAAUUGUCAAAGGUUACAGGCUUGAGCGAACAAACAUGGCCUCAUAAAAACCUUGCCCAGGAAAAGUAUUCGGAUACGCUUUCAUUGUUGUAUACGGUUUAAUACCGGUCUUGCGUAGGAAUUGACAUAUCUUGCAAUACGAUGCCUUCCAAUUAGGUUAUGAACUCGAGCAAACAAACGUGUUCUUAUUGAUACCGUAUCCACUGCAAUUAAUACCGUAUCAAUUAUUGAGUUUUUUCCACAUCAGUUUAUAAAGUUUAUAGAAGUAUUUGGAUACGCUUUCAUCCUAUUCAAAAGUUGUACAUAUUAAAAAGAGUAAAUUGUCGCAGACCUCCCCAAAUUAGGACCCCAAUCGAACUUAACUUUAUGAACUAAAAAAUCAGCUAAUUUAACACCCAAAUUAAUUAAAAUUGUCAAUUUAAUACCUGCCGUUAGAUUUUAUCACUUUUCAUCUAAAAUUCCUUCGUACGUGGCAUGUGAGACACAUGUGCAAUAUAAUUGGAGAACAAUAUAGUUCUUCUAACCUGUUUUCCUACCACUAUUCAGCUUACCUACUAGUUGAGGCCAAAUUAAAAAUAGAGGAGCCCUAAUUUCACAAAUUCCACCAUUACAGACAAUUGUUAUGACAUAUACCCACCCAUAGCAUACAGUUGAGAAGAAGGAGAAGAAGAUGAAGUGGUUAGAAAAUGCAAAGGAACAUGCCUAGAGCAAAUGGUUCAGUCGAGUCCAAGUUCAAAUACCUGGAGCAAGAGGUUCUCUGUGUGUUCUAGAGAUAAGGAGCCUUCAGUCGGAUCUGACAUCAACUAUCCUCAUCAUUUGUUACCAAGUUAAUCGAGCCUAAACGUCUUGGUGCAAAACUUGCCUUUGUGGAGCAUUUGCCUUUUCACAACCAUUGACAGGGGGUAUAUUGACCCAGUUGUAAAGUGAGGAGGUAUUUACGCCCCUAUUCUAAUUAAGAGUCUCUCUAUUGAUCUACACUUUCUUCCUUUAGACCCGUUUAGUUCAUGAGAAAUCACUUGCUUUAAAUGUUUGGUAAGUUUAGGCAUAUAAGACAGAAAUGUCAUGCAGUGUUACUGCCAAAUUCACAAGGGAAGUUUUCAGUGAUGAAAAUUGGGAUCAAAUAGGUCAACAAUGGUAUAAGAGGGAUCUAAAUCCUAUUGGCAUUGAUGAAAAUUGUGUUGUGUAUUCAUUUAUCUUGGACAAAGGAGAGAACAUGUAGCACAAAAGCAAAGUAGAACACAUCAAUUUAUGUAUAGAGAACAUUAAUCAGUACUUUCUACUUCUUGGAUCAAGGAAGAGGUGCCAAGGACGAUGUAGCACAACCAAGAGCCUUUGUCACGCCAGUAAUUGUGGGCUUGACAUUGGAACACACAGAGGUAAGAGGGCCUUUGUCUCCACCGUAGGUGAGAUCAAUGUCAGUCAACUCCACAUUCUCACACGGUUUGCCCGUGGUACAUACAAGCUUGACUGCAAGUGGAGUGAAAGAUGAGCCCUUAAUGUUCUUGAAGCUGACAUUGUUGAUCUUAACUUU
rnacentral:lncRNA from 1 species